GAUACUACCUUUCGUCGACCAUUGCGCGGUGAUUUUAACAAUUACUGAGCAAAAGUCGGUUCUGUACACAGGCUGUGUAUACAAAUGUCGUUUAUAAUGUCUUUCACAGAUGCGGAGAGUGUUGAAGUUCCAGAAAUUGAAAAUGUAUUGAAUUUAGACCCCUAUCUGAAACCUCAUGAAAAAGAAAUUCGACGCCGCUAUGGAUGCUUCAAAAAUCUUUAUGAUAAAAUCAAUGAAUAUGAAGGUGGCUUGAUCGAGUUCUGUCGCAGCUACAAACACUUUGGAAUCCAUGUAACAGAGAACAAUGGCAUUCGAUGCCGAGAGUGGGCACCUGCAGCCGAAGCUGUUUACCUCAGGGGAGAAUUCAAUGACUGGAAGAGAGUGACCCAUCCUUUCCGGAAGCUUGACUUUGGAAAAUGGGAGCUGGAAAUCCCUCCAAAUCCUGAUGGAUCAUGCCCUAUACCUCAUAAUAGUACUAUAAAGCUAGUUGUACUGACUGCUGCUGGUAAAAUGGAAGAUCGUCUUUCCCCAUGGGCAACAUAUGUUGUACAGCCUCAAAACUCAGUAGUCUAUGAUCAGAGGUUUUGGAAUCCUCCUGAUAAUGAGAAAUAUAUAUUCAAGCAUCCUAAGCCUAAAAAACCAGAGAAUUUUAAAAUAUAUGAAUCACAUGUAGGUGUGUCUUCGGAAGAAUAUGGUGUUGCCAGUUACAGUCAUUUUAGUAAAAAUAUUAUACCAAGAAUAAAGAAACAAGGUUAUAAUGCAAUUCAAUUAAUGGCAAUAAUGGAACAUGCCUAUUAUGGUAGUUUUGGUUAUCAAGUGACUAGUUUUUUUGCUGCAUCUAGUCGUUUUGGAAAUCCUGAAAGAUUGAAGGAAUUAGUGGAUAAUGCACAUGCACAUGGUCUUUAUGUCUUGUUGGAUGUCGUUCACAGCCAUGCUUCUAAAAAUGUUCUUGAUGGAUUGAAUCAGUUUGAUGGAAGUAAUUCUUGUUUUUUCCAUGAUGGUGGACGUGGGGAGCAUUCUUUGUGGGGUAGUAGGCUGUUUGACUAUUCUCAAUGGGAAGUUUUGAGAUUUCUGUUAUCUAAUCUGUGCUGGUACAUGGAUGAAUAUCAAUUCGAUGGAUUUCGAUUCGAUGGUGUGACAUCCAUGCUGUACCACCACCAUGGAAUAGGUGCUGGUUUCAGUGGGGACUAUAAUGAAUAUUUUGGUUUGGCCACAGACACAGAAUCUGUCACAUAUCUUAUGAUGGCAAAUUACAUGCUAAAGACUUUAUAUCCUGAAUGUGUCACUAUAGCUGAAGAUGUAUCAGGAAUGCCUGCUCUAUGCCGACCUGUCACGGAAGGUGGCCAAGGGUUUGAUUAUCGGUUAGGAAUGGCAAUUCCGGACAAAUGGAUUGAGCUACUGAAAGAAAAGCAAGAUGAAGACUGGAAUAUCGGAGACAUAGUACAUACAUUAACAAACCGUAGGUGGAUGGAAAGAACUGUAGCAUAUGCGGAAUCACAUGAUCAGGCUCUGGUUGGUGACAAGACCAUAGCUUUCUGGUUAAUGGAUAAAGAUAUGUAUGAUUUUAUGUCAGUUCUAACGCCACUUGUGCCAACUGUAGACCGUGGCAUUGCUCUGCAUAAGAUAAUACGUUUGAUCAGUCAUUCCUUAGGUGGCGAAGCAUGGCUGAAUUUUAUGGGUAAUGAAUUUGGCCAUCCAGAAUGGCUUGACUUUCCCCGUGUUGGUAAUAAUGAAAGUUAUCAGUAUGCCAGAAGACAAUGGCAUCUGGUUGAUGAUGAGCUGUUGCGUUAUAAGUUCCUCAACAAUUUUGAUAGAGCUAUGAAUGAAACUGAAGAGAAGUAUCGAUGGUUAAAUUCAGGCCCUGCCUAUGUUAGCUGGAAGCAUGAAGAUGACAAAGUCAUUGUAUUUGAAAGAGCUGGUUUGUUGUUUGCAUUUAAUUUCCAUUCCACAAAGAGCUUUCCUGACUAUAAAAUUGGUGUUGAAAUUCCUGGAAAGUAUCCUUUCUGCAGUUUGAUUUCUGGUUGUUUUCAAUUCUUAACUUUAAAGGUAUAAAAUAGUAUUGGACAGUGACGCUGAAGAAUUUGGAGGUCAUAAGCGAUUGGAUCACAACACAGAUUUUUUUACAUUUCCUGAACAUUAUAGUGGAAGACAAAAUUCUAUGAUGAUUUAUAUUCCAUCUAGGGUUGGAAUUGUU
rnacentral:misc_RNA from 1 species